UUAAUACUCCCUCUGUUUCAUAAUUCUUGUCGAAUAUUACAUGUAUCUAGACAUUUUUUAGAAUAGAUACAUCCAUAUUUGGACAAAUUUGAGACAAGAAUUAUGGAACGGAGGUAGUAUUUU
rnacentral:pre_miRNA from 1 species